GGACAUUGACCACAGCCAAGAGAUUGAUGGUCGGGAAUGGACAGGCCAAGAGGACCUCCGUUAAGUUAAGGCACCAUUCACCGUUAAUGAAAAAGAGUUACAGUAAAUCAUCUUAUGGACUAAUCUAUUAGCAAUAAUGAAUUCACACUGGCACGUUUAACCUUAGUUUUGCAAUUCAUUAUAUCUGAGAUUAACAAGGGAUGGAAUUUAAGUGAACUGUCUGCUGGGAAUUAUGUCGAAGGGGCUCGUUGUCAAUCACUGUAUUGUGUUCCAAUGGCUCCCCAUUUAGACAAAGAGGAAUUGGCUUGCCCAUUUACUGCUUCUCCUCGCUCUGCUAAGAUGGUUAACUCUUCAUUACCCGAAUUAAAGGCAUCCAUCUCCUCUGGCUUCUGCCCCAUUGAAAUGACCUCUACCUGUCAAAACUUUAAUGUACGCCGCUUCAGUGAUGGAUGAUACCCCCAACCCCAUUGUCAAAAUUAUCAAGUGACUGUCCAACCCACUCCAAUUCAUCUCUAUCUCUUGGCCGGCGCCACUGGCCAUGAUUUAACAAUUGCGUCACACGUGCUAAUUUCAUCUCAUUGAAAUUAGAAACAACCUCUUAAUUAAAUGCCUAUAAUUGUUGGUAGAGUUUACAGGGAUUGCCCCCAAAGCUUUUAACACAGCUUUGUGAAAGCAGAUUGUUAAUAUUCCUAUAUGACAUGUUGUUUCAGGGCUCUUUCAAGGCUCCAACAGACACUAGAGAGGGGAUACAGGAUCCAUAUACUGUGUGAUCCACCAGGAAGAAAAGAAAGAAAAACAGGUUGAUCUGGUUAAAAAGCAGAACGUUUUAACAGUACAGUGACGGAUAAAGCAUCCUGGUGUUUGUAGUCAUAGUAUGAAUACACUUACAAUUACAAAAUGGUGGCCCUUGAUUAAAUCAAUGCCUCCAUGCAAAUGAUUAACUAAGGUGUACCAAUCAUGUUUUUUUUUUAUGUUCAAGAUUGGCACAAUGCCUAACUGUUUGUGAGGGAACCUUUGUUGUCAGACAAACAUAGCACUCUCUGUCUCAACUUAGUUUUUCCCUAUUUGCAUCACCUUUAGACAAAUGUAAAUAUUCAAGCACAUGCUAGCCGUCAUCCAUCAUGCAUGGUAGAAGUGGUCCCAGGCUUGUCUGACCUCUUGUUCCCCCGUUUCUCUCCCAUGACAGAUGCGGGGAGCACUCCAUGCACAGCUCACUUCCUGAAAAAGAGAGUUAUGGCUUCCUGGGAGAGGCAUGCUGGAGGCUGAGACGUCCCCAGGAGCCAAGAGGAAUCAGAAGGAGUAGACAGAGGACCUGAGCCCUAGGACCAUGCCUCACAACUUCCUAGCCUGAAGACUCCUUGCUGUCCCCAGUCCACCUGGCCCUGCUGCUGCACCAGUUUUAACUGUUCUGCCUGCGGCUAUGGAACCCUGACCUGUUCACCGGACCAGCUACCUGUCCCAGACCUGCUGUUUUCAACUUUCAAGAGACAGCAGGAGUGGUAGAGAUACUCUGAAUAUUUGGCUAUGAAAAGCCAACUGACAUUUACUCCUGAGGUGCUGACCUGUUGCACCCUCGACAACCACUGUGAUUAUUAUUAUUUGACCCUGCUGGUCAUCUAUGAACAUUUGAACAUCUUGGCCAUGUUCUGUUAUAAUCUCCACCCGGCACAGCCAGAAGAAGACUGGCCACCCCUCAUAGCCUGGUUCCUCUCUAGGUUUCUUCCUAGGUUCUGGCCUUUCUAGGGAGUUUUUCCCAGACACCGUGCUUCUACACCUGCAUUGCUUGCUGUUUGGGGUUUUAGGCUGGGUUUCUGUACAGCACUUUGUGACAUCAGCUGAUGUAAGAAUGGCUUUAUAAAUACAUUUGAUUGAUUGAUUGAUGCGACAAGAGGUCUCUUCACAGUCCCGAAGUCCAGAACAGACUAUGGAAGGCGCACAGUACUACAUAGAGCCAUGACUACAUAGAACUCUAUUCCAUAUCAAGUAACUGAUGCAAGCAGUAAAUUUGAUUUAAAAAACAGAUACAAAUACAACAGAAGGGACUGUGAAGCAUCACAAACAUAGGCACAGACACAUGCAUACACACACACGAUAACAUACGCACUAUACACACACGUACACAUGGAUUUUGUAUUGUAGAUAUGUGGGAGUGGUAGAGUUGGGGUCCAGAGUAUGUUGUGAAAUCUAUGAAUGUAUUGUAAUAUUUAAAAAAUUGUAUAACUGCCUUAAUCCUUAUGUGAUGUUCAUGUAUUUGUUAUUUACCUCAAUGUUCGCCGAUCUGAUGGACCCACAACAUUAUUGGGUUUUUAAAACAAUAAAGUCAUAACAAUUUACAUACAAAUA